rnacentral:tRNA from 2 species
GGGCGAUUAGCUCAGUUGGAAGAGCGCCACGUUCACACCGUGGAGGUCAUGGGAUCGAGGCCCGUAUCGCCCACCA